CCCUUGUACACACCGCCCGUCACACCAUGGGAGUUGGUUGCAAAAGAAGUAGGUGGCUUAACCUUCGGGAGGGCGCUUACCACUUUGUGAUUCAUGACUGGGGUG
rnacentral:rRNA from 1 species